AGAGCAGACUAAAACUCCAUGUGUGCAUCUACCACAUUCCCUUUCCUCAUUCUUCUGUGGACAGGAGCCUCACCUGUUCCACACCUUGGCUGCUCCCUGUACGGCCGCUAAGGGAUCCCCAAGCCAGUCUUCAGGGAGCUGACAUGAGGUGUAGAGAAGAGGUGUGUGACUAAGCAGUCAGGGUCACGAUGUGGCCACACUCAUCGCUGAGCCACAUUGUCUCAGCUCCAGUGAUCUCGCAUACAAGUUCCCAGAACGUGGGUAGUUGUUCCAGCUUUGACCUGGAAGUGCUACCCCCAUUGAAGCUUCGGGUAAUUGUCACGCCUAUGAGUCAGGGCCGAGACAGGAGCCCUUAAGACUUGAGAUGCGGCUCUCUUGGUUCCUGGAUCCUGGACACUGGAGGUAGACCGAACAGUCCUCCAGAGAACACUGCUGGACUGCACCUUACCUCUCCCGAACCCUGUAACCUAUCCCUUCACUUGUAAGUUACCCCACAAAAUAAACCUCCCUUUUAACUAC